rnacentral:rRNA from 1 species
GCGAACGGGUGAGUAACGCGUAGGUAACCUGCCUCUUAGCGGGGGAUAACCAUUGGAAACGAUAGCUAAUACCGCAUAAAAGUCGACAUUGCAUGAUGUUGACUUGGAAGGUGCAAUUGCAUCACUAAGAGAUGGACCUGCGUUGUAUUAGCUAGUUGGUGAGGUAACGGCUCACCAAGGCGACGAUACAUAGCCGACCUGAGAGGGUGAUCGGCCACACUGGGACUGAGACACGGCCCAGACUCCUACGGGAGGCAGCAGUAGGGAAUCUUCGGCAAUGGGGGCAACCCUGACCGAGCAACGCCGCGUGAGUGAAGAAGGUUUUCGGAUCGUAAAGCUCUGUUGUAAGAGAAGAACGAGUGUGAGAGUGGAAAGUUCACACUGUGACGGUAACUUACCAGAAAGGGACGGCUAACUACGUGCCAGCAGCCGCGGUAAUACGUAGGUCCCGAGCGUUAUCCGGAUUUAUUGGGCGUAAAGCGAGCGCAGGCGGUUAGAUAAGUCUGAAGUUAAAGGCUGUGGCUUAACCAUAGUACGCUUUGGAAACUGUUUAACUUGAGUGCAGAAGG